rnacentral:rRNA from 1 species
GGGAGAUGAGUUUCGGGGUCGAAAGGGAAACAGCCCAGAUCAUCGGCUAAGGUCCUCAAAUCUAUGCUAAGUGGUGAACGAGGUGAGGUUACUUAAACAACCAGGAGGUUGGCUUAGAAGCAGCCACCCUUUAAAAAGUGCGUAACAGCUUACUGGUCUAGUGACCUUGCGCGGAAAACUUAACGGGGCUAAGCAUAGUACCGAAGCCAUGGGUCUCAACAUUUGUUGGGGCAGUAGGGGAGCGUUCUGUCAGCGGUGAAGGUCGAUCGUAAGGGCGACUGGAGCGGACAGAAGUGAGAAUGCAGGCAUGAGUAGCGUACAAAUACGUGAGAACCGUAUUCGCCGUAAAUCUAAGGUUUCCGACGCCAGGUCAUUCCGCGUCGGGUUAGUCGAGUCCUUAGUCGAGGCCGAGAGGCGUAGAUGAUGGACAUCCGGUUAAUAUUCCGGAACCACUAGAGAGUGCGAUGGGAGGACGCAACGAGGUAGGCCAGCCCAUUAUUGGAUUUGGGUUCGAUCCAUCUAGGUGUUGAGACUGGUAGGUAAAUCCGCCAGUUGAGCUGAGGUGGGAGCGGGCCGUAAGGCGAAGUGGCUGAGCCUUGUUGCCAAGAAAAGUCUCUAAGCAUAACUCUCUAGUGCUCGUACCGCAAACCGACACUGGUAGACGGGUAGAAUAUACCAAGGCGAACGGGAGAACCCUCGUUAAGGAAUUAGGCAACAUGACCCCGUAACUUCGGGAGAAGGGGUACCCCCUAGGGUGUUAAAGCCCUGGAGGGUCGCAGUGAAAUGGCUCUGGUGACUGGUUAACAAAACCACAGGUCUCUGCUAAGCCGUAAGGCGAUGUAUAGGGGCUGACGCGUGCCCAGUGCCGGAAGGUUAAAGGGAGAGGUUAGCGCAAGCGAAGCUUUGAACUGAAGCCCCGGUGAACGGCGGCCGUAACUAUAACGGUCCUAAGGUAGCGAAAUUCCUUGUCGGGUAAGUUCCGACCCGCACGAACCGCGUAACAAUUAGAGCACUGUCUCGACGAGGGACCCGGUGAAAUUGAAAUGGCUGUGAAGAUGCGGCCUACCCGCAGCAGGACAAAAAGACCCCGUGGAGCUUUACUGCAACUUGGCAUUGUAUUUGGACAUAAUCUGUGUAGCAUAGGUGGGAGGCUUUGAAGCUGGCGCGUCAGCGUCGGUGGAGCCACCAGUGAAAUACCACCCUGAUUAUGUUUAGAUCCUAACCCCAUUCCGU